UCUCAAUGAUGAGAUCAAAGCAGACGGGCGGUCAGAACCUGAUGUUGUGUUGAGUGUCUGCAUUUUUAUGCUUUCCUCUUAUGGGAUGCAUCAGAGAGUG
rnacentral:snoRNA from 1 species